GUGAACGCUGGCGGUAGGCCUCACCCCUGCAAGUCGAACGGCAGCACAGUAAGAGCUUGCUCUUACGGGUGGCGAGUGGCGGACGGGUGAGGAAUACAUCGGAAUCUACUUUUUCGUGGGGGAUAACGUAGGGAAACUUACGCUAAUACCGCAUACGACCUACGGGUGAAAGCAGGGGAUCUUCGGACCUUGCGCGAUUGAAUGAGCCGAUGUCGGAUUAGCUAGUUGGCGGGGUAAAGGCCCACCAAGGCGACGAUCCGUAGCUGGUCUGAGAGGAUGAUCAGCCACACUGGAACUGAGACACGGUCCAGACUCCUACGGGAGGCAGCAGUGGGGAAUAUUGGACAAUGGGCGCAAGCCUGAUCCAGCCAUACCGCGUGGGUGAAGAAGGCCUUCGGGUUGUAAAGACCUUUUGUUGGGAAAGAAAAGCAGCAGGUUAAUACCCCGCUGUUCUGACGGUACCCAAAGAAUAAGCACCGGCUAACUUCGUG
rnacentral:rRNA from 1 species